rnacentral:tRNA from 1 species
GCAGUGGUGGUUCAGUGGUAGAAUUCUUACCUUCCAUGUGGGAGGCCCGGGUUCCAUUCUGGCCAGUGCA